ACUGGAGGAUUUGCCCACAUUCUGAUCGAUCAGGGAGCCACGCCGAGGCGCGCCCGGGGCGGCGGCGGCCGGCGGCGCGGGGCGGCGGGGGGGACGAGGGGUGGGGGGUAGAGCCGCGCCGCUCCCGCAGCCUCUUUUGCGCCUCUUUUGGCAACUUUCCCCCCCGCGGCGCGGGGAUCCGUCCCUCCCGCCGCCAGGUACCGCGCAGCGAGCGGGGCCCGCCGGCCCUGCCGCCGCAUCCGCCCGCCCGGGCGGAAAUGGCGGGAGCUGCGGGCCCCGGGGGGCGCGGGGGGACGGCGGGCGCGCCUUCGCCGCGGCGCUGACAAUGGCCCGCGGGGCGAGCGGCAGCGGCCGAGGGGCGCCCCCCACCCGAGGCGUGAGGGCACAGGGGUGCGGGGGGGAGCCCGGCGGAGGGAGCGGGGCGGUGGGGGGGGCGCUUCCCGGCAGCGCCCCUCGCCCUCCUCCAGUGCGGGGCCGCGCCGCCGGCCGGGCGCUUUCCGGAGAGGUUUCCCCGCAGCGGGGCGGAUGCGGGAGCCUUUUCCUCCCCCCUUUCCUAAGCGUAGCGAUUUCCCAAGCGAAGUUCUCGCUGCUCGGUUUGCUUUCUGGCGUGCGAUCGAUACGAGCCGUUGAAACGAGUCGGCGGCCGGAGCCGCCUGGGACGGCAGCGGGGCGGGGGAUCAAACUUGCGAGCGGCAGAAGCGGCGAACCGCCGUCGGUGUCAGCCGAAAAUGGAGGGGAGAAGCGGGGCCGGGUGCGGGUUGUGCAUCGUCCGUGCGCGAAGUGCUGCAGAAGUGCCGGGAGAGACGAUUGCUGGCAGGCUUGGCUGCAAAUCUCUAGAUAGUGGUGAGCUAAUAUAUGUAUUUUUUUCCCUCCUCUCUCAAACAUUUCACCUAUGCAAACACUUCUGAGAAAUUGAGCGCAAUCCCACGAAUCAAAUCCUUUUAGCCGGAGCCGAGCCCGCUCCCGCAGCCCCGCGCCGAGGGUUGUGUUCGCGGGAGGGCUGCGCGUCUGCCGCUCCCGUUGUGCCACCAGCUCCCCUCAGAAAAUACUAUUCCCGUUUUUAAACGUAGCGUAACUCCUGUCUCUCUAGAUACCAUGUACAUUUUCUUUGCUAAGAGAUCUUGUUUUAGAGCCCCCUUCCUUUUUUUUUUUUUUUUUUCUUAAAACCCCCAAAGAGCAAGGCAAUAAGUCACAUGCUAUCUCCAGUCACUAUUUAUAUUGGCUUAAUAUUUAAAUCUCGUAAAACUAAUGCUUUGCUUAAAUAGUCCGGAGUUUUUGCAAUAAACCAGGGUGCACAGCCCAAAGUGUUUCUUUGGCAUUCUUGCACUUUGCCCCAAUUCCGCUCCGUUUCCCUCCAGUGUGUGGUCUUUGAGUUGUGUAAGGAAAGCUCGUACCCUCAGACACAGACCUGGUGCUCUGCAAUUAAAAAAAACUUCCGAAAGUUUAAAGCACAUUCUUUUUUCUAGUUUUCUUUGUCUUUUAUUUUUCUUUCCUCCUUUAUCUCUAUCUUUUUUUUGUUCCUUUUUAUUUAUUUAUUUUUUUUAACAUCUCCAAACUAGUCCAGGUUUCUGGAUUAGGGCUAAAUUAUUGUACAAAAAAAAGGAGGAAAAAAAUAAAACCAGAAGAUAAGAAUGCUUCAGUUUAAUAUUCUAAUUUGAUUGGGACACGUCCAAAUCAAUUGGCUUUUUAUUAACACUACUCUGAAAAAUUGACAACUGGAAUUCAUUUAGUGCAUUUUCUCACUCAGCCCAAACUCCCCCAGACUUGAAUUAGUUUAAUUCAUUUUAGCAUUUGGUGCGAUUCUGGCUUGUCUAUGGAAUUAAUGGAAAGUUGUUUUCAAGUUUGGAUUUCUUUGCGUAGAAUUUCUUUCCAUUGUUUGAAGUUUGAAGUCAAAGUAUUUUAUAAUUUCUCAAGUGAUUCUUAUUUUUAAAAUAGUUACAUUUUCUUGGUUUAAGUUUGAAAUUGUUUAGAGAAACAGAUGGUAAACUGUUUGAAACCUAAAGACCAAGCAGUUGACUUUUAAAUGUUACUUAUUGCUAAAAUUAUUUGGAAUGUCUGAUUUGUAAAGAUUAACUGAUGUUUUCUCCUUACUACCCCUAUAUUCUUUUUGAAAAAAGGAAAAAAAAUUACAAUAGUAAUGUUUUAAUGAUGUAAGUAGAUGAUUUUUAAAGGUUUCUCGCUCUUAGAUGGCAGCUGUUUUGAAAGCUUGUUUAGAUGCUUGUGUAAAACAGCAAGACUUCCUUAGCAAUUACAAAUAAAUAAAAAUAAUUUAAGCUACUAGCAAGCAUGUAUGUAAAAAAUACCAAAUAUUUUAACAGACAAUUCAGAUGAAAGCAACAGAAAGGAUAUCAACUUCUCCAUUGUGUCUUUAAUCUAAAUCAUUACACCUACUUUUGUAAAAUAGUGGGGUGCUGAAAUGCAAGGACAAUCCCAAUUCUUGUCUUUGCUUUCACAUGCUCUAAUGCAAACCUUUACCAUUGAGAAAUUAAAAAAAAAGUCCCCAAAACAAGCUUAUCUAAAUUAUUGCUGAAGUUAAUUCAAGAUGCAGUUGUGAAAUAUUAAAAUCUACUUCUAAAGAAUGACAAUGAAUCAGUGUGGUUGUUGAAGAAACUCCUUUUUUUUGAAUGUAACAAAUCUGUUUUAGAGUAAAUCAUGAACUGAAGGCCAUCACUUGGAGAAGUUUCUAACUGAUUUAUCAUUUAUAUUGGAAAGUCUCUGGAGUGUGCUGUUGUCCAGAGCCCUUUUUCUGUUGUACUACUGGCAAUUAUGAUGAGCAGUGCAAUAUUAAAAGGGCAUUGGCUGGCAGAAACAUGACCCCCUUUAGCAGCCCACCCUCUUCAGAGUGGGCAAACAACCCUAAAAUAGAUGCCUCCUCCAGUGUAUUUAUGCACGUGUGUGAAAUAAGGUUUUAUACAUGUGGGAGUGGUUUUAAAUAAGGACAGAGAUUCUGGGUUAUACAUUUUUAUUUAUCUUUCUAUAGGAACGGGCUGGAAUAAUUUAAACACAUCCUAUUUCAAACAUAAGCUCCAGACAUUUCUGGGAGCUUUCAAGGCAUCACAUUACCUGCUUUGUUUACUAAUAACUUGUUGAGUGGUCUGUAUGGAAAUUCCUUGGGUUUUGUUCCCCGUUUGGACUGCUUCAGUGUACAAAAUGGAUUGCCCUUUCUGCCACUAGCGUGGGUUUGUGUGUCCCAAGUUGUAAAAUAAAAAGCUGGCCUAUUCACAUUUUAAAGCCCUCUUGUCCUCCUUUAGAGCAAUCACCACCUUUAAAAAGAUCCUGAGCAGGUUUGAGUAUUUUCCUGCUACUGCUUUAAAAAAUAGAGUUUUACGAACCUAAGAAUGUUAUUGUUGCUUAUAGAAUUCAGUGACUUUAAUAUAUACACAUGCAUUCACAGGCAAUUUAAUUUUUGCUUCCUAUUGAUGUAUUUUUCAAGUUCCAUCGUAUUUCACUUUUAGAGGAAUUACUGUUAGGAUUAAAGCAAUAUCGAUACCUUCAUUUUCAUUAAAAAAAAAAAAAAAUAGAAGGCACCUAAAUAAUAAUCAAUACGUUUUGAAAGACAAUCUUUCCCUGCACUUCCCAAUAGCAAAGUGGAACAAGUCUGAGAGACGCAGGGAUGAUGUAGGCCUAGGAACAGGAAUAUUGCAUUCAGAAUUGAUCUUUAAAUAACAGUAUGUUGGUGACUGUCACUCUCAGUGUAGUUGGAGGCAGAUGUGGUAUUUUCGCUUGCAGCUGCUAAGAAAGGGGUUUGGAGGGCUGGGGGAUGGGACCUUCCUCUCUCUUUUUUCUUCCUGAAGCCUUGAGCUGUUACCUUGGGAGCAAAGGGUGGGGGUGGGGAGAGCCGUCAUAUUGGAAAUCAAAUCUAGGUAAAGGAGCGUUUUCAGAUUGCACUGCACAUCCCAAGCCAGGCCAGGGUGUGCUAGCGAGCGAGCCAUGGGAAGGCAGAAAAUGGAGGACCACGUCCUGAGGGAGGGUGCGUGUCCCAUUUUAGAGGGGUGGGGGGAAGCCGAAUCCUCAAUAAGGCACUCGGGUUCUUCAAUGAACAAGGGAGCAAACAAAAGACACCUUUUCAGUCCCUCUGUUUCUGAUGAGGAGCUGAAGCCUGUCUCCCUUUCACGCCCAGAGAAGGCCAAGACUCCGUACCCGAACUGGGGGCGCGGAGCUGGUGGUGGCUGAGGCUCCCAGGCCUCAGCCGAGGUAACCCGAGCCGGCAUGGCUCCCUUUCUCUAGGGCUUUUCUUUUCAUCCAUCUCUCUGCGCUGUAGCGCAGUUGCCAUUUUUAUAUGCGUUAAGGAACAGGGAGGGCUGUUUAGCUUUGGCACUUUCCCCUCCUCCUCCUAAUUUUUGAUUGAUUAAAAAGUAGGAGAGAGUGAAACCUUAAAGGCUCUGCUGGGGGGGGCUGUCUUGCCCCUGGCCAUCAAUAGGAGCACAGGGGUGACCAGAGUGCAAGUGUGAGGGGCCCUUUGCUGCUCCUGGCCAAGAAGGAUGGGAAGGAGGGUGAACCAGUGGGGAGCUGGACACCACCCUGGAGCAGGGCAGCACUUUGCUCUGUGGGUGCCUGUGGAGCCCACCAGCAAGUCGAAAUAAGCGCUAGUGAAAGCCUUGGUGGGGCUGAUGCUGGGCUGUAAGAUGGCCUCUCAGCAUGUGAGCCUGCCUUGUUUGGAGGUGGAGAAAUCACAGGGGGAAUAGAUGUGUACUUGUUUUCAUGUAUGAAGUUAUGUCUUUAAAAAUAAGAUAGUUGCUACACUUGAAAACCUCCCCUGGGCAUGGGGGGUGUUUGAGGUGUGGGAUACAGGGAAAGGUCUGUGUGGUGACGAGGACCUUAUCAGUGUGCAGAAGGUGAGGGGACACCUUUUGAGGCCGCCUGGCUCCAGCCGGGGCGGUGGGGCCCACGGAGGACCCGUCCCUGGGCAGCAGCUCCCAUGAAUGCUCCAGGGGUGCGGGGGGCGAGGACGGGGUUCCCUGCAGAUUUGUGUCUGGGAUGAAAGUUACACAUUCCAAACCCUCCCUUCCUCGCUCUCUCUUUUUUUUUAUAUAUUUUUUUUUAAAAACCCUGCCUGGCUGAGGAAUGUAACAGUGAAAAAAAAAAAAAAAGGCGGCACUGGAGGAAAAAAAAAAGGGGGGGGGAUUCGGAAGCAAAGGCCCCUUCAGGAGUCUGUAUUUGUGCAAGGGAAACCAUUUGCAUGUGUGUGGAGAUGCCAGAGUUUGUCUCCAGUUGGGUCGGAGGGGGAGGGCGCGGGAGGAAUGCGGGGAAUCAGGUCGGGCUGCGGGGGGAAGGGCUCCGGCAGAGCCUCCAUCCUGUUGUUGCAUAAACUUGUUAAAAGAACCCCUCCUCUGUGGAGGCAGCACACAUAGGGUAUUAGUGUGGUGGAGGAGGCCAGACCUGCGCCCUGGCUACACAACCAAUUGGAGCGGAAAGUGAAAUCAGAUGGUUUAAGUUUUCAGAGGGAUUUUUUUUUUUCAGGGGGACUUUUUGAGUCAUUGCAUUGAGUGCUGGAUCUGUGUUAAGGUCGCUCCUGCGCUGGCCGCUCUUGGGUGGUUUGGGGAAGGGAGGCAGCGGGGCAGGGGCUGCUGCUUCCCGUCUGGUGCUGCCCCGACCCGGCCGUGGACACGGGGGCUUGGGCCCCGUCGGGAAAUUGCAACCCUGCCCCAGCCAGCAAAGGAAUGGGCGGCUUGUGGGCAGCUGGGGCUGUCAUGAGGGGAGUCUGUCCCCUGCCAUGGGGGAGGAGCUAUUUGGGGGACCCCAAGAUCAGCCGCACAUGUGCUCCUUCCUCAGCCAAGACAACCACAAGACCUUUCACUUGCCCUGCUGUACAUAGAUGGCCAGAAGUGGGAUUGGCACUUCCAAGGUGAUAGGAUUUAGCUCAAUUUUGCUCUUGCAUUUAGUACCACAAGUCUCUUUUUUUCUUUUUUUUUUUUUUUUUUCCAAUCAGACAGCAGAGCGCUGGUAAACACCAUGCAGAAAAGCCGUAUUGUGGGGUUACAAAGUCUAGGCUGUUUAAGGAGCUCUGUCAUUCCUUUUAAUGGAGCUCACUGACGCAGAUCUGGCUUCUGCCAGCCGAGGAAAUGUUGCAGCUGAAAAAAGGGUUAUUGAAACCCACAAACUAAAUAUUAUAAGCAAGAAUCAAAUGGCAGGAUGUUCUGGAGUGUAAUCCCUCCUGAUUUCAGGAGAAGGGGAAUGUAUUGAUAAGUGGCUGUGGGUGACAGAAUCCCCAGGCUCGCUGGGUGAAAGGUGCUUGGGAAGGUGGUGUUUUCAGAGAGGAUUAUCAGCCCUUACUCUCUGGAGUCUCUCACACCUGGACAGGUUGACUCUUGCAUGGAAGCAAGAAUCCCCUUUUUCUCUGGACGGAUUUGUACAAACUUGCUAGAUAGACUGAAGGAGCCAGGACUGGAAUGUUAAGAAUUUUCUCUCUCUCUUAAAAAAAAAAAAAUAGAGAGAGAAUUAAAAAGGCAACUCUUCCCAGUUUUACAACUAUGAUAAAAUUAUUAAAUAGGAUGGAAAACUCUAAAUCAGCCCUCAGCCUACAGCUGUUUCCAAAGUGUUUGCUCUGACCUUUGGUAAUAGUGUCAAUUCCGCUGCAGAAAAUAUAUUGUGGACUAUAUAAUGUAUUUAAUUGCAAGAUGGCUUUUAAAUGGUCUCCUGUCCUCAGGCUAGCGAAAUGGCUGUGAGCAGGGAAACGAGGCUGGAUUGGAGCUUUGUUGUCCUACUAUGUUUUGUGAGGUUGCAACCGAGAUGAAAAUUUUAAAAACCUGCUUGCCCGAAGUGGCACCUUUAACCACAAGAGAAACAAGAAAACAAACAGCAAUAAAGGGAAGGGGAAAUGGCUCCCUAAACUAACCCAGGGAGAACAAGUCUGAUCUCCCCAGGAGCAGAGGCCUCCCAGCUCCAGAGAGUCAGCUCACUGCUUUAUUUAUCCAAAAGCUUCAUCGUAAGGACACUUCAGUCUAUUUGUCCGCUAACAUCAGAAAAGGGGGUUUCAGCAUAUAGCAAUGACUCCUCUACAGUGAAAGAUUCCCACACACACACUGCCAAAAAAAAAAAAUAAAGCAGCUUCCAUUAUUGAGCAACACACAAAGAUACAAAGUGUUAUUUCCAUGCUAGUCUGGGUGACAUUUCCAUUUACUUUCUAUAACCGUGAUUAAAGGCGAGAGAGGUUUCUAAACUUAUCUAGAGAUGCUGAGCCUCCUGGUGUAUAAAUAGCAUGCAUUUCAUAAUCUCGUGUUUAAACGUUUAUUUUAAAAUAACCCCCAUAUACAUUCCAGAGAGUCUCCCUGCUAUAGGACAUAGUAUGACCCAGGCGUUGCAUAUUGUUUGCAAACUGGAGGAACAUUACUGGAGAUUCAGUCUUUAUUUUUCUUGUCAUGUUAAAAAAAAAGGAAGACGGGAGUCCUGUGCACCAGUUGGAGAUAAGGAAAUUUUUGAGGCACAUCUAGGCACUCAGCACAGAUCCAGAGACAUAAAGACAAAAUAAUUUAAUUGCCUUUGCUUGGAACUUAACUUGUGGCUGACGUUUCUAAUUACAUCCCUUACCCUCUCCUGCCAGUUGUAGCUUCUGCAACUACUGAAAUUCUUAAGUUAUGUAGAAAUUGUCAAAUCGUGCUUCCCUCCCCGCUACUAAUGCAUUAGUAAUGUCACUUGAUGUGCAAAUUGUACAUUUCCACUGUAAACUCGCCAGUGGGUUUGUCUCUUGGGCCACUGGAGAAGUUAAAUUGUGUGUAUUAAGUGUAAGUCUUAUUUGAGAUAACAUCGAGGCUGAAGAGUGGAAAAGACAUGGUAAUCAAUAAACAAAAUAGAGACUGGACGGGAAUAGAUGGAAAGGUAAGGCCAAGCCUAGUUGUGUCUUUUUUUAUGUUCUCAGUCCAACUGGAUGUCGAGGUUACAGGGAUUGUUGAGAAGCAGAGUGGCAGGAUUAAACCUGAGGUUUUGCCAAGGUAACAAGAAUACAGAAGUUUGGUAAAACUCAUUCUAAACUCAUUCUGAGCCGCUUACAGCAAUCUCUGUGAACAUGGCCUUUUAAUUAGUGCAAGCAAAGGUUAAUACAAAUAAAUAAUGCAGAAAAGAGAUCCCUGUUUGCUUCCAACAAGCAUCACAAAGGAUGGGGAGAGGGAGGGGCUAGGGCAGAUUGGAGAUUUUGUUUAUCAGUCCAUUAGAAAAACAAACAAUUAAGGGAGCUUCCCUUGUUCCCUUUUCUUUGGCAUGUCCUUGUUUUUUGGCUGCUUUGGGCAAGUCAGGCAACAUCAAAGGGGAUGCAGGGCUGCCUUACACCAGCGUGCCAAACGCCAGGGAUCUCUAAUGGCAAAGACCAGAUCAAUGUGGAAUGCAUAAAUUAGCCAGGAAUCCAUGAAUUAGGGGAUUGUCUCUCCAUUACACUCCUAUUUAAUCCACUGGAAAGCAGGCUGAGGAAAGAGAAGCUUAAAGUGUCAAAAUCAUGACCUGGUUUGGGAUGGCCUGGGAAUGAAAUUUCCUUCCUCUUCCUCAGCACUCUUAAGUGUUCCUUUGUGACAAAUGCACUGGGGCAGGUUAACCGGGAGCCGGACUGCAGAGGAAGAGUCUAGUUGGCAAAGCAGCCCCGAGGCUGGAGGUGUCCUGCCCCUCCCUAGAAAUAAUUUCUGUGGCUGUUGGUGUCUUCAACACUAAGCCAGCCGCAGCUGAAGAUUAUGCUUUCCAGCCUUGGACAGAAAAGGUGCUGGGGAGAGGAGAAGAAAAGCCAAACAAAACGAGCUAGGGCAAAACACAUGUGCGUCUCCAAAGACUGUUUAAUCCGUGUGCAUUAAUGUGAAGCCGGUGCUGGAGGGCCAGCCCUGGAGAUCCCAUUUUGCUUUCUAAUUUUUGGUGUGUCUUUAAUCCCAUGAUUUCCAAUGAAGGGAGGGAUAUUUUAAAACACUGGGCUCUCCAAGUAGGACAGCCCUAGAAAGGAAGUUCUCUGAGGGCUUGAUGCCUGUUACUAAGAGGUUCAAAAUACAACUAUCAGUUAAUCAAAUAAAUAGCACUUCUCAGCCUGUAGCAGCUAGGAAGCUAAUUGACUGAGGUUAUUAAUAAAGAAGUUUACACAGAAGGACAUGAGAACUGGGGACAGAGGUAGAGAAACCUGGAUAAAAUCUACACUGGAGUUAGACAUGUCCUGGGAGAAAGGGGUAGCACCCAUGUGCAGUUCCUGUGGGGUCAGAGGUUUACUCUGAUCCUGCAUCCCCACCUUCCCAGGAGCACACAGUGCUGUGAUCCAUAAGGCAGUGCUCUGCUUUCUAACGUUUUACCCCUUCCCCAUUUGCAGGCAUGGAAUGAAGCUCCCUCCAGUCACCUGCCGCAAGACACAUUAUCCAGCUUCCUAACCUUAAGGAUGAGACCCUAUCAAUAUUGCCUCUGCUUUUGUGAUCAGGGUAGUAGUGCAAUAUUGCUUAUAGGGUCUUUUCUUUUGAGGGUUAUUCUUCAUGGAGAGAAGAAAACCACAGCAGGAAAAAAUAAUCCUAUGUGCCCAUCGAGUUAAGGGAAAAGUUGUGAAAUGCCGAGUGUUGUUAGAUAGGCAAGUAAUUGUGCAGAGAUGUUAUUUGUGACAAAUAAUCGUGCUAUUGUGGUGACUCAGGUUGUGAGUAAUGGACAUAUUUUUGAUGCUAUCACACAGGAUUCAAAACGGCCUCAUGUUUAAAAUGCACAAGCAGUGACUGAAACCGGAGAAACCCAUCAUGGCUCCAUUUUAAAAUAGUAUGAGUCCCGAGAUGUUUGAAGGGUGCCUAUUUUACAUAAUGAUGUAAACACCCACCAAGGGAUGGGAGGAGAUACAUAGCCACACUUGCUGUUUCUGUGCUUGAUCCCAGCCCGAAAACCAGUGUGGAGCGAAGCCGUGCACAGCACAAAGAGGCCGAGGCUCUAAUCCCAACAACCUCGAAACAAAGCUCAUGCUUCUGCCUGGCGAGCGCAGCCCGCCAGCUCCCGUGCUGGGCCCUGCUACCCGGGGCUGCUCCGGGGUCGGGCAGCUGCCUCCAGCCCUUCCCGGAGCCGUUCACUGAGGUACGUGGGAACAGAGCAGGGAUGGAGGUGUUAAAUCUCCUCUCCGCUUUGUGAGGGAUCAGCUGGGGGCUGACAGCAGCCGGGAUGGCCGAGUGGGUGGCCCUGCCUUCCAUUUCAGGUGGUCCCCGCGGUCCCUUUCGGGACCUCAGGGGCCCAGGGAAAGGGAUGGUGGGAGGGGACAUGGGGCCGGAUCAGGGCGCGGCGGAGCAGCCGCUGCCGCGGGGCUUUCCGAGCCGGUCCCCGGGCAGCGCGGGGCCGCUGCGGCGCGUCUCCCCGCGGCGGCCGGGCUCACCGAGCCGGCCCGGGGGCGUGCGGGGGAGGGCCCGGAUCCCUACGUCGGGGCCGUGCCCGCUGCCGCCCGUGCCGCCUCCCUCGGUUUAACCGCCCCUCCGGCAUCAUUCCGAGGGGAGGCGGCCAGCCCGGGGACAAAGCCAGGAACCCCCCCCCGGGCUCUCCCUCCGUGCCCCGGCUGCAGGCCGAGGGGCGGCCGCGGCUGCUGGGCCAGCUCUGGGACCACCGGGCGGGCUGCCCCUCUUUCCCUGUUGCACUACUGUCACGGUCGCAGCGAGCAGUGCAAUAAUGAAAGGGCGUCAGUGCGCCGGGGAGCGGCGAGAGCCGGGGACGAGCCGGUGACAGCGUGCGGGGACGGGACGUCCCCCUACCCGGCUCCCGAGAGCCACCUUAACGGAGGGAAGGGAGGCUUCGGUUGUGCAACUUUCUUUGUUUAAACACACAGCGGCGGAGAGUACGCGCAGGGGCAGGGCAAGGUGAGCGGCUUCGCACAGCGGCCCCGCGGCCACGGCUGCUCUGCCGGCCGCGCACCCAGAGCCGCGCACCCCCGGCUGGCCCCAGAGCCUGGGGCAGGACACCCCUCUGCUGUACCCGGCCAACACCCAAUAAAUAAAGUGACUCCCACGUCCCCUA